rnacentral:rRNA from 1 species
AGUGAACGCUGGCGGUAGGCCUAACACAUGCAAGUCGAACGGCAGCACAGUAAGAGCUUGCUCUUACGGGUGGCGAGUGGCGGACGGGUGAGGAAUACAUCGGAAUCUACUUUUUCGUGGGGGAUAACGUAGGGAAACUUACGCUAAUACCGCAUACGACCUACGGGUGAAAGCAGGGGAUCUUCGGACCUUGCGCGAUUGAAUGAGCCGAUGUCGGAUUAGCUAGUUGGCGGGGUAAAGGCCCACCAAGGCGACGAUCCGUAGCUGGUCUGAGAGGAUGACCAGCCACACUGGAACUGAGACACGGUCCAGACUCCUACGGGAGGCAGCAGUGGGGAAUAUUGGACAAUGGGCGCAAGCCUGAUCCAGCCAUACCGCGUGGGUGAAGAAGGCCUUCGGGUUGUAAAGCCCUUUUGUUGGGAAAGAAAAGCAGCAGGUUAAUACCCCGCUGUUCUGACGGUACCCAAAGAAUAAGCAGCGGCUAACUUCGUG